GUAUUGGUAGAUUUUUGGGUGAUUAAAAUUGUGUAAAAAUGAUUUUUGAACGUUUUAACGGUUUUUAAAGCUCAUCGGAGCUUGACCGGAAUCCGGUGACCAGAAUUUGGUGACCGGAGUGAUCAAAACAUAAAUGGGAUUCUGAGUUUGAGAGUUGAUGAUUUAUUGAAUUUGGUUGGGUUUGGACUUGAUUGUCAAAAUUUAAAGUUUAGGGGUUAAAAUGUAAUUUUUGUAAAAAUAAAGGACCAACCUGUAAUUUAACCAUAUUUCCAGAUUAUUGAUGUAUAUAAUCUGAUGUGAAAUGAUUUUUAGAAUUAUAAAUGAUUUUAAUGAUUUUUGAAAGAUUUGAAUGUUUUUGCCGAAAACUAGAGUUUUUGAGUUAAAUUGUAUUUUUUAAAAAAAUUUGAAGGGCUACAUGGUAUGUUAGCCAAAGUUUCCAGAUUAUAUUUGUUAAUAAUCUGAGGUAAAAUUAUUUUGGCUAUUUUAAGUAAUUUUGUCGAUUUUAAAAUCGAUUGAUUUACAAAAGGACCUAAAUGGUCAAUUUUGAAAAGUUUGAGGGUAUUUUGGUAUUUUGACCGAAAGUGGAAUUUAGAACAAUAUGGGGCUGUUUUAAUAUAUUUAAAUAAAUAACCUUGAAGUGGAAAGUAUUAUUCUAUAUAAAAAAAUAUAUUUUAUAUGACAAAGUAUAUUUAUGAAAAAUGAAGUAUUUAAAUGAAUAUUUCUGAAAAAUGGUUUUAUGUGCAAAAAGAGAUAGGUAAAGAAAAAUUACACGAAUAAAAUAAGUUAUGAACUUAUUAAAUAAGAAAUUAUUUGGAGGUUAGAAUUAAUUAAUUGAAUUAAAUUAAGAUGGUAUAGAGUUAAUUCCAGAGUAGGAUUUUAUUAAUUAAGAGAAUUAAUAUUUUGAUCCUAACUAGAUUCGACAAGUUGUCGAGCUAUCGAGUCGGAGGACCAAGGAAAUUAACGGAGUUGUUUAAAGGAGCAUUGACGGAGUAAUACCGUAGUUAAACGGUUUCUGAAAGCUGGUCCGAUUUUGAAGAAGGCUUCCGAACGUUUAUUUCUCGGAAGUCUACUUUGAUAAAAGACUGUAAAGAAAGUUUUAAGUUCUAGUUGUCCGCAGUAGAUUAGUAUAGUCUUAUUGUAUUCAAAUGUUUUAAAGCGCAUUUAAACUCUGA